rnacentral:rRNA from 1 species
UGCCAGCCGCCGCGGUAAUACGGAGGGUCCAAGCGUUAUCCGGAUUUAUUGGGUUUAAAGGGUGCGCAGGCGGUCUAUUAAGUCAGUGGUGAAAGCCUACAGCUCAACUGUAGAACUGCCAUUGAUACUGAUAGACUUGAGUAUAGUUGAAGUGGGCGGAAUGUGUCAUGUAGCGGUGAAAUGCAUAGAUAUGACACAGAACACCGAUAGCGAAGGCAGCUCACUAAACUAUUACUGACGCUCAGGCACGAAAGCGUGGGUAGCGAACAGGAUUAGAUA